UAUAAAUAAAACCUCAAGGCCUCCAUCUUCUCUAAUGAAGCCAACGCCUAAGUUUCUCUCUAAGUUGCUGCCCCUAUCUCUCCUUCUUUCUUCUCUAUAAGUCUAGAGGAGGUCCUAACCCUAGCACACCUUCCAUCAAAUCUAGAAGAGGUCCUAAUCUUAAUGUCGCUACCUUUUUCUCUUCUACAUAUUCUCUUCCAUCUAUCUUUCUUUCUUGAAAUUUCUAGAUCAAGUCUUCCAGCCAUCCUACCGCUGUCUGCAUAGAGGAAGACAAAGAAUUUAAGGAGACACAUCCACUAUCGGACGCAGCGAGAAGAUCAACUUGAUUUAGUUGUCUUGUAUCGUAAUUU
rnacentral:lncRNA from 1 species